GACGAACGCUGGCGGCGUGCCUAAUACAUGCAAGUCGAGCGGACCGGCUUGGGGCUUGCCUUGAUUCGGUCAGCGGCGGACGGGUGAGUAACACGUGGGCAACCUGCCCGCAAGACCGGGAUAACUCCGGGAAACCGGAGCUAAUACCGGAUAACACCGAAGACCGCAUGGUCUUCGGUUGAAAGGCGGCCUUUGGGCUGUCACUUGCGGAUGGGCCCGCGGCGCAUUAGCUAGUUGGUGAGGUAACGGCUCACCAAGGCGACGAUGCGUAGCCGGCCUGGGAGGGUGGACGGCCACACUGGGACUGAGACACGGCCCAGACUCCUACGGGAGGCAGCAGUAGGGAAUCUUCCGAAAUGGGCGGAAGCCUGACGGAGCGACGCCGCGUGAGCGAAGAAGGCCUUCGGGUCGUAAAGGUCUGUUGUGAGGGACGAAGGAGCGUCGUUCGAAGAGGGCGGCGCGGUGACGGUACCUCACGAGAAAGCCCCGGCUAACUACGUG
rnacentral:rRNA from 1 species